rnacentral:tRNA from 1 species
UUAACUGAAGCCAAAAUAGAGGCCUUUCAUUGUUAAUGAAAUAACUGAUUAUUUAUAGUCCAGUUAAA